rnacentral:rRNA from 1 species
AAUGAACGUUGGCGGCGUGGAUUAGGCAUGCGAGUCGUGCGAGAAUCGUAGCAAUACGAGGACAGCGGCGCAAGGGGGAGGAAUAAGUAGAAAUCUACCCUCGGGUCGGGGAUAGCGGCGGGAAACUGCCGGUAAUACCCGAUAACGUCUUUGGACCAAAGGUGUGAUUCCGUCUGAGGAUGAGUCUACUUCCUAUUAGCUAGUUGGCGGGGUAAUGGCCCACCAAGGCAACGAUGGGUAGCAGGUGUGAGAGCAUGACCUGCCUCAUUGGGACUGAGACACUGCCCAGACACCUACGGGUGGCUGCAGUCGAGAAUCUUCGGCAAUGGACGAAAGUCUGACCGAGCGACGCCGCGUGCGGGAUGAAGGCCUUCGGGUUGUAAACCGCUGUCGGAGGGGAACAAGUGUACGGGGGUUCUCCCCUGUAUUUGAGUGAACCUAGGAGGAAGGAGAGGCUAAGCUCGUGCCAGCCGCCGCCGUAA